AGAACUUGAGAAUCACUUUCGAGAAUCAAACAGAGGCCAAAUUUCCCUCUAAACAGCUGCCACACUUAAUUUAGUUUGACUGGAAUGUCCUGUUUUGGUGGUUGAAACAGCUACCAGAUUUCCCUCGAAACAAGAUACUAAGACGUUUUUCCAGUUCAAUUUAAACUGCAAAAACGUCUUAUAUUUAGCUACAGAGGUAGUACUACUAGUAGUUAAUCAGCAGCUACAAUAAACCCAAACUUAUCCAGAUUUCCCCAAAAUGAGAGUUUGACAAACUACUGCCGGCUUCCUUCCUAAUAUAGCACAACCCCUCCAUCUAGUAUUAGUUCCAUGAAACCUGAAAAGUAAAAAUAAUAAUAAUAUCAUGAACAAUUGACUCAUCAUGGGAAAGAAUGACUGAUAUGAAAAAACAAACACAAAAACAGGUAAACAAAUGUGCUAUUAUAAGCCAUCUACUCACCUCCAAAAGUGAAAAAGAAAGUGAGUUAUCGUCUGGACAACAAGUUUACUUCAUAGCAAAAAAAUUACAUCAUUAUCAUUUGUUGGAAAAUGGAAAUAACAAGCUUCACUUUUAGGCUUUAUCAAUUGUAAUUAUAUUUCAUGAAAAUGGAAAGAGCGUUCAUAACUGUGUCAAGGAAAAAAAAUGAAGCGUCAUGAGUCUGGACAAUGCGAAUGGAUGACCAAUACUGGAUUGAUCUAAAAAAAAGCUAAAAUGAAAGUAAGUUAUCAUCCGGACAACGUGUUUACUUUAUAGCACCAAAUUACACGGAAAUUGCUUUUGCUGACCGAGCUCAAUGGAGGCCUUUAAAUUUGAAAUUCAAAUUUCAUGAAAAUUCAUAUUUUUACAUUUUAAAAAAUUCUGAAAAAAAAUACAGGGAUAAGUGAAGGCAUAACACACAUGUGUGUAAAUUUUCAGAAAAAAAUACAUUGAAACGAGGGCUGUGCAAAAAAGACAAAUCUGAGGCUUUUUUACACAUGACACUAUUCAUCAUUUCAGGUCAUGAAUUUGUCUUUUUUGUGCAGAUCGUAUUUCAAGGUAUUUCAUCCUAAAUUUUUGCACACAUACGCAUAACAUCCUUCUUUACUUCCAUAUUUUUUUUCAGAUUUUUUUGAAACCAAAAAGUUUGAAUUUUGAAUUAUUCAAAAAUUUCGGCCUCCAUGGAGGCCGAGCUCCAAACGUCCGCACUCCAAAUUACAUCAUUAACAUUUGUUCAGAAAUGGAUAUAGCAAGCUGCAGUUUAAGACUUCACCAAAAUAAUAGAACAUCAUGAGCCCUGACAAUGCGAAUGAAUGACUAAUGUGGACGGUCUACAAAGAAGCAUUACAUAAGAGAAUAGUACCCAGAGAUACAUAAGCUGGCUGGUAGAUUAAUUCAUACCCAUUCAUCAUAUCUAGACACAACUAAUUAACCGGAUCAUCUGUCGAUUCCAUGCCAUCCUUCUUGCCUGAAAAAAUUAUUUCCUCAGUCAAUAACAGACACAAUGCUAACCCGGAACAGUUUGUAGCAGUAUAAACUAUGUGUUGCUGUGAACAUUGUACUUGUGCGAGAAAUAAAAGAGCAUGCAUUGCAGAACAGAACAUGACGUGAACACGCUUGCAUGAACGCCACUGUCUAAAACAGAACCCACAUGCUUCAUCUUCUUCCAGCAAGGUGGUCUGAGUGUUUGACUAACAAACAUAUACAUCAAGGUGCUAGACACUAACAAACUGCGAAUUACAGUACAGCAAGGUGGUCUGAGUGUCUGACUAGAUCAAUAGCACCCGUCCUAGUCUUUGAUUGUAUGUAUGUGUGAAAUCUUAGUAGCAAAUAUCAAUUCUUAAUAUCAAUUAUUUUUCUUCUUUUUUGCGGCAAUGAUCAGUCCUAGCAACGUUCAAUUCGUCAACGGUCACCAUAUAUAUACAAUUUGUGGAGUAUGACACACGCCGCAAAAUUGUUUCCAGUCACAAAUUUCAUCCAUUUGUAUGUUUCUACAAAAUUCAGUCCAAGCAAGCAAUGCACCAGCAAGUGAUUUGUUUGCUUCUUUCCAAUCUUAGAACAAGAACUCAGUACCCUCUUUCAAUAAUUUCUGGCAGUUACUAGAACUUGGAACAAGAAGGUGAUUGAUUGAUUACCUGCCGUAGGGAUGGUGCUUGAUGCAAGCCACGGCGGGAGCACGCAUGGCACAAGAGAGUACUCGUCCUGAAGCGGAGAGGCCCCUAUCACCUUGCCGUUGUGCAUGUCCACGACGACGACGUGCUCGCCGACCUUGAGGUAGAUGGCGUUGGCCUUGAGCGGGUCAAGGACGACGAUCUGCGGCGCCGCCUGCGCCGAGUUCUCCUGCCACGGGUAGCCUCCGUCCGCCAACACCUGCCUGAGCUCCACCUGGUGCUGUAGCGUCCAGCCGCUGCCCUCGUCGUCCAGCGCAAAGGAGCUGAGCAGGAANNNNNNNNNNNNNNNNNNNNNNNNCAGGAAUGGCUCGUCCGGUGUCACCUCGGCGUAGCGCAGCCGGCCCUUGCUCACGCCGACGCGCCGGUGCUUGGCCACCUCCCGCAAGAACAGCCCCCGGUCCUCGACCUUCCUUAGAUCUCCAUCCUCUUCUGCACUACGAGCACGCGCAGGCAGCACGCUGCCGCUCGGCAGCUCGACGAAGCGGAUCUCCGGCCGGUCGGCGAAGGGGUCGACGGAGACGGCGCCCAAGGUGAGGUCGACCCACCACAGGCGGCCGCCGAAGGCAACCGUCUCCUGGUUCACCUCCAUCCCGCGCGGGGGCGGCGGUCCGCACGGCACGCCCAUCACCGUCUCCCACUCCCCUUUCUCCGAGAGAAACCGCUCGAGGCCGGCGCCAUGGAAGGCGAGCUCGGCGACGGCGAAUCUGUCGGGCGGGCCGCGCCCGAGCCAGCCGUCGGCCUGGGUGAGGAGGCCCAUGUGGUGGAAGACGAGGGUCCUACGGGAGCCGCCGAUGUCCGGCAGGCGGAGCAUCUGGCCGGUGAGAGGGUUGCAGACAAAGCGCUGGAUUUCGGGGGGCGCGGACAGGUCCCAGGUGGUGCAGGGGCCCUCCGCCCGGAGGUCGUGGUAGCUGAGGAGGAGGUGGCCGUCGCCGCUGGCGGCGCCGACGUUGCCGAAGAGGACCUGGACGACGUUGGUGUCGGGGGCGGGGCGCGCCCUGGGGCUGACGAGGUGCGCCGGGGCCGUGACGUGGGAGAUGCCCGGAGGCGCGACGGGGUGGAAGCACGCGCCCGGGGCCGACGAGGAGCGGUCGACCAUGGACGUGUAGUCGACGAUCGCCCAUGGCGGGUGCGAGGGCGCGGCGGCGGUGGAGAAGGAGCGGCGGAGGCGGUCGGAGAUGGUGGCGGAGAGGUCCAGGAGGCUCCGGAGCGGCAUGACGGCCGUUGGAUGGAUGGGUGUGCUGGCUACUGUAGACUUCUGUCCUUGCACAUGGGCAGCGGCUACUGUGGACUGCAGGUUUGCCUGACAAACUGAGGGCAAAAGGAAAAGGUUGGCGUGCCUCAUAAGCUACAACCAAAUUCGAAUUUAAAACCCUACCCGCAAGCUUUGGUAUCCUCAAACUUUUGUGUGCUCCUACUCAUUCUCUAGUUUCACUCUUCAAACUACAUCAUCUUUACAUUAUUAUUUUUAUAUUUGCCAAACAUAUUUCUAUGACACCUAUUUAACUUCUUCGCUUCGGAGCAACUUUAGCCGGACGAUCCAAACGGACGGUAAUUUUGUUUGCUUUUCGUCCGUUUGGGUCGUCCGCCGGUUCUCUGUCCGCCCGGUCUAUGAUUUGGGUCGGCAGCACGUCCAACGCGCCGGUCUAUAUUUAUUCGUGUGGUCGGCUAGCCGCUGGUUUUAACAAAUACAAACAUUUUGCAUAUUUUUUAAAAGCAGAUGAAAUAGUGUAGUUUCAUAAUCGACAUAAAAUAUAGCAAAGUUUUACAAGCCCAAUAAAAAUUAAAUUGUCUAAAAGAAACACUUAUUGGUUGCCAACAUGAUCUUACAUAUGCUUAAUCAAAUCAUCUUGCAACUUAAUAUGAGUUUCCCAAUCACGUAUUUCAUGAUGAAAUUGGAUGAACUGUGCAAACGAUGGCCCUUCUCCGCCAUGCUGAGGCACCACAUUGUCAUCCUGAAACUCAAACCCUUCAUCGUGGAGACGUUUUGGGCGCUCAUGUUCUACGAUCAUAUUGUGCAUGAUCACACAAGCAGUCAUCACUUCCCACAACUUCUUGGUGCUCCAAGUUCUUGCAGGAUACCGAACUAUGCCCCAUCGAUCACUACAAGAAACAAGGUCAAUUAUGACUCCCUAUAUUGGUCAUUGAUUCGUCAUUGUUGUCGUUUAUUGACCUUUUUUGACCAAAUUUACAAGGUCAACAGUUGGCCGUCAAGAAUGAACAAACAUGACCUUUCUAAAAUUUUGGUCGUUGGUCUCUAUCGACCAAAAUUUUGAUUUGAUCAUUACCCAUUUGUGUGAGCCACGUAGGAUCUGACGUGGCCAAGCUAACGUGGCAUUGCUAGUGACCAAAUGAAAUCAUCAUAAAUUUCAGAUCCCUGUCCACCAAUCUAGCCUACAUGGGUGUGGCGCAAUACCUAUUUUACUAUUGAAAAUGUCUGACUUAUUUUUUAUUGUCAUGUUUAAGUUUUUAUUGUGUGAAAUACCAAGUUAAGGUACCCUAUACCACCUUUCAAAAAUAUUUAUCUAAAUACGGUCUACACAUUAUGAGAUUAGCAUGGGAUCAUAUAUUUCAUUUUGGUACUUAUAUUGUAUUUUCUAAAAUAUUUUGGAUAUUAAAAUGAAUAAUUAUAAUUUAUUUGUAUUUAUCUAAUAUAAUUUACAUCAUCCACAUACAUAUAAAACAAAUUUUUGCUCUCUAUACAUGACACAUAGGCAAAAUUGAUGAGGGGUCGUCUAGUCACCUUCACACAUAUGUUUAUGGUCUUAUAUUUGGUCAUGAUAGCAUUGAAAUAUGAUCAUAAAUAAUUCUACACAUCUUAAUGACCAUUUUGUGCAAUAGGACCAUGACCUAAUGGACGCAAAAGGUCAUAACGUUAUGGGCUUUGGACCCUCUUAGACUUGCCAUGACUAGUUUCAAAAUUUUGCUCAUGGAUCAAUGACCAAUUAAACCACCGUCAUUUAUUUUGGUCAUAAUUGAGCGUUUUUCUUGUAGUGGAUAUUGCAGAACACCAAAGGCACGCUCAACAUCCUUCCUAGCACUCUCUUGCUCUUGGGAAAAUCUUUUCCUCUUCUCUCCGAUAGGGUUGGAGAUUGUCUUCACAAUAGUUGUCCACUGUGGAUAGAUUCCGUCAGCUAGAUAGUAUCCUUUGUUGUAGUUGUGAUCGUUGAUGUUAACAUUGACCGACGGGAUGUUGCCUUCGGCAAGCCUUGCAAACACCGACGAACAUUGAAGAACGUUGAUAUCAUUGUGUGAUCCGGCCAUGCCAAAGAAAGAGUACCAGAUCCAGAGAUAUUGAGAUGACAUGACCUCACGUAUGAUAGUGCAAGGCUUGACACUAGUGGGGACAGGGCCUAUAGCCCCGGCCCGUAAGGGGCUUUAGUCCCGGUUCACCAACCGGGACUAAAGGGGCGGGACUAAAGGCCUAACCUUUAGUCCCGGCCCCGUUCCAAGCCGGGACCAAAGGUGCUCCACGUGGGCGCCUCGGAGCGCCCUCAGGGGCAGGCCCUUUAGUCCCGGGUCUUAACACGGACUGGGACUAAAGAGUUUCUGCAAAUUUUGUUUAUUUUAGGGUUUUAGGGUUUAGGUGUUCGGGAGAUUAACAUGAUGCCUCGUUUGGUGUUCGGGAAUUAGUUUUCAUAUAAUUCUAAAUAUACAUGUUUAUGCAUAUAUAUAUAUAAGAUCGAGACCUGAAGGUUUGAAAUAUCGACAAAGACUUAGCCAUGGACAGGGGUGCGUGGAAGUUAGCUAUCCACGUUCCAGAGCCAUGACUUGGUUUCGAGAUCUUAUGGGUUUCAACUCUAGCCUACCCCAACUUGUUUGAGACUGAAAGGCUUGGUUGUGUUGUUGUAUGCAUAUAUAUAUAUAUAUAAGAUUAACUUAUCUUACAAGCGAGCAUAUAUAUACAAUUAUAUGGAGAUCUGAAUUAUCGGGACUAGAGCCCGUCUAUUUGAUUACAUGGACCAACAUCAGUAAUGGCCCCUAGCUACACUAAAUCGUCCUUUGUCAUCUAUAGCUUCCGUCCUCAGAAAGGUCCCAAGCUCCUCUGCAACAGUAAUCGCGCGUUGCCCUGGUAGGGACUUCUCCCUCAUGGUCGUGUACUAUAUAAGAAGAGGAGAUGAAUAUGAAUAUCAAUCAUGAUAACAAAGAAUGACGGGUAAAAAUAGAGGUGUGAAUGUUCAUUGCUUACGUCGUAUCUGUGAUCCUUGUGCUCAGAGGUAAACGUGCGAAUGGUCUCGCAAACAUAGUAUCCGCAUAGAUGCGUCCCCCGUGGCUGCUGGUCGCACUUUACGAGAAUAGAAUAUAUAUAAUCAAAAUAAUAAUCUAGCAUCAUAAAUGUAUUGAAAAUAGAAGUAUAUCAUACGACUACUUACCUGAGCCGCUCUAAAGGUCAGCUUCUCAGGCUCGAUACCGGGAGUCACGCACUUGAACCGCUUCCAAACCCUGUCCGACAAGGAAAAUGAUUUGCUAAGUUUUUCAUUAAUUGAUAUAUCAGAAAAUCAUCGAAAGAGACCGAUAGAGCGCAAGAAUGAUUGAAGUUACCCUUGGAGCAUGUCCUGCAGGCUUUGGAACUGUUCCAAGGGCCUCGAUAAUGGGUCGAAGGCAUCAACUCUUCCCUUAUCUUUAUUAGUUAGCGUCGCUAUAUAUAUUUUAUCUGGGUCAAUAAACCCAAUAUUUAGGAUGUUCCUACUUUUACAUUCCAGAAUCUUCAUUUUGCAAAAUAGAGUACAAGUUAUAUGUAGACAAUGAAUUGAAAUAGCUAAACAAGUUAUAUGUAGACAACGAAUUGAAAAACUUAUAGACAAUAGCAACUCAUAAGCGAUUUGUCGAGGGCGUCGACAUUGUACAUCUGGAAGAGUUCAACAAAGUCGAUAUGGAUUUCUUCGGGGCGGCCGUAGUACUCCCGUGGGACACUCACCACGAUCAUCGUUCUCCCAUUCUUUGAUUCACUUAAGUACCAUGUAUGCAAGUAACACAUAUUUGUUGGGAGAUCAUCUUUGCUGACCAAAGGCGCUCCCAUGACAAACUGUGGCUUAGGGGCUACCACAGCCUUGGGUAACCUGUCGUCUUGGGAAGCCAGAACGUCUUCAACCGAGAUACCCCAUUCAUCCGCCCACUUCUUUGCUAAUUCCAAAUCUUGCCCCUGCACCAGAGGGGGAACAUUCUCGGCUAACACCCUGAGGGGUGGGAUCGACUGUUUGGCCUGUUGUCCAAGCUGAGGAACGUCUGAUCUUUUUUUGCUUGUAGUUGAACUUGAUUUGCUCCCACUUGCACUUGCACGUGAUCUGCUCUUUUUCCCUUCCUUCUGCAAUGUGCGUGUAUAGUCAUCAGGCUUAUGGUGUAAGUCAUGUUGUGAUGGAAGGUUCGUGAAGUAUUUUGCAAAUGCUAUUUGCUUCUCGGUGUAUUCCGGGUGGGGCUCGGGUUCCUUCUUUUUCAUCUGCGCAUCAUGAUGUUCCUUUGCUUGUUGGGUAACGUAGCAUAAAUUCAAAAAUUUUCCUACGCAUGUUCAGAUCUUCCUAUGGAGAGACCAGCAAUGAGAGAGGGGUAAGAGCAUCUUCGUACCUUUGAAGAUCGCUAAGCGGAAGCGUUGCUAGAACGCGGUUGAUGGAGUCGUACUCGCAGCGAUUCCGAUCUAGUGCCGAACAACGGCACCUCCGCGUUCAACACACGUGCAGCCCGGUGACGUCUCCCGCACCUUGAUCCAGCAAGGAGGAGGGAGAGGUUGGGGAAGAAGUCCAGCAACACGACGGUGUGGUGUCGGUGGAGAGACGAGGUCUCCCGGCAGGGCUUCGCCAAGCACCAGCAGAGAGGAGGAGGGAGAGGAGCAGGGCUGCGCCGAGAGAGAGAUAAAACGGUGUCUCAAAUAGCCCCGAACCCUCAUCUAUAUAUAGGGGGAGAGGGAGGGGGCGCAACCCUUAGGGUUCCCACCCCCAAGGGGUGCGGCAGCCCUAGAUGGGAGAGGGGGCGGCGGCCAGGGCAGGGAGGAGGGGUGGCGCACCCCUCUGGUGGGCCUUAGGCCCACCUAUGCUAGGGUUCCCCCUUUCCCCCUUUCUCUGGUGCGCAUGGGCUGGGUGGGGGGCGCACCAGCCAACUUAGGGGCUGGUUCCCUUCCCCACUUAGCCCAUCUAGCCUCCCGGGGUCGUUGCCCCCCUUCGGUGGUCCCCCGGGACCACCUCCGGUGGUCCCGGUGGUACCGGUACGUUACCGGUGACGCCCCAAAUACUUCCGGUGUCCAAAACCAUCCGUCCUAUAUAUCAAUCUUUACCUCCGGACCAUUCCAGAGCUCCUCGUGACGUCCGGGAUCUCAUCCGGGACUAUGAACAACUUUCGGUAACCUCGUACAACAAUUCCCUAUAACCCUAGCAUCAUCGAACCUUAAGUGUGUAGACCCUACGGGUUCGGGAGACAGGCAGACAUGACCGAGACACCUCUCUGGCCAAUAACCAACAGCGGGGUCUGGAUACCCAUGGUGGCUCCCACUAGCUCCACGAUGAUAUCAUCGGAUGAACCACGAUGUCAAGGAUUCAAUCAAUCUCGUAUACGAUUCCCUUUGUCUGUCGGUAUAGAACUUGCCCGAGAUUCGAUCGUCGGUAUACCUAUACCUUGUUCAAUCUCGUUACCGGUAAGUCUCUUUACUCGUUCCGUAGCACGUCAUCGUGUGACUAACUCCUUAGUCACAUUGAGCUCAUGAUGAUGUUCUACCGAGUGGGCCCAGAGAUACCUCUCCGUCACACGGAGUGACAAAUCCCGAUCUCGAUUCGUACCAACUCAACAGACACUUUCGGAGGUACCCGUAGUGCACCUUUAUAGUCACCCAGUUAUGUUGUGACAUUUGAUACACCCAAAGCACUCCUACGGUAUCCGGGAGUUGCACAAUCUCACGGUCGAAGGAAAAGAUACUCGACAUUAGAAAAGCUUUAGCAUACGAACAAUACGAUCUAGUGCUAGGCUUAGGAUUGGGUCUUGUCCAUCACAUCAUUCUCCCAGUGAUGUGAUCCCGUUAUCAAUGACAUCUAAUGCCCAUGAUCAGGAAACCAUGAUCAUCUAUUGACUAACGAGCUAGCCAACUAGAGGCUUGCUAGGGACACAUUGUGAUCUAUUUAUUCACACAUGUAUUACUGUUUCCUGUUAAUACAAUUAUAGCAUGAACAAUAGACGAUUAUCAUGAACAAGGAAAUAUGAUAAUAACCAUUUUAUUAUUGCCUCUAGGGCAUAUUUCCAACAGUCUCCCACUUGCACUAGAGUCAAUAAUCUAGUUACAUUGUGAUGUAUCGAACACCCAUAGCAUUAUGGUGUUGAUCAUGUUUUGCUCGUGGAAGAGGUUUAGUCAACGGGUCUGCAAUAUUCAGAUCCGUGUGUACUUUAAAAAUAUCUAUCAAUCCACUCUGGACAUGUUCCUGGAUGGAGUUGUAGCGGCGCUUGACGUGCUUCGUCUUCCGGUGAAACCUGGGCUCCUUGGCUAUGGCAAUGGCUCCAGUGUUAUCACAGAAGAGUGUCAUAGGACCCGACGCGCUUGGAACCACUCCAAGGUCGGUGAUGAGCUCCUUCAUCCAAAUUCCUUCAUGAGCCGCUUCUGAAGCAGCUAUGUACUCCGCUUCACAUGUAGAUGCUGCCACGACUUCUUGCUUGCUGCUGCACCAGCUCACUGCCCCACCAUUCAACACAUACACGUAUCCGGUCUGUGACUUAGAGUCAUCCGGAUCUGUGUCGAAGCUAGCGUCGACGUAACCCUUUACGAUGAGCUCUUCGUCAUCUCCAUAAACGAGAAACAUUUCCUUAGUCCUUUUCAGGUACUUGAGGAUAUUCUUGACCGCUGUCCAGUGUUCCACACCGGGAUUACUUUGGUACCUCCCUACCAAGCUUAUGCCAAGGUUUAUAUCAGGUCUGGUACACAGCAUGGCAUACAUUAGAGAGCCCACGGCUGAAGCGUAGGGGACAUAACUCAUCUUCUCUCUAUCUGCUGCCGUGGUCGGCGAUUGAGUCUUACUCAAUCUCAUACCUUGCAAAACUGGCAAGAACCCUUUCUUUGAGUUUUCCAUAUUGAACUUCUUCAAUAUCUUGUCAAGGUAUGUACUUUGCGAAAGACCUAUGAGGCGUCUCGAUCUAUCUCUAUAGAUCUUGAUGCCUAAUAUGUAUGCAGCUUCUCCAAGGUCCUUCAUUGAAAAACUCUUGUUCAAAUAGGCCUUUAUGCUCUCCAACAUCUCUACAUCAUUCCCCAUCAAUAAUAUGGCAUCCACAUAUAGUACGAGGAAAGCUACAGAGCUCCCACUCACUUUCUUGUACAGACAGGCUUCUCCGUAAACCUGUAUGAACCCAAACGCUUUAAUCACCUCAUUAAAGCGAAUGUUCCAACUCCGAGAUGCUUGCACCAGCCCAUAGAUGGAGCGCUGGAGCUUGCACACUUUGUUAGCACCCUUAGGGUCGACAAAACCUUCUGGUUGCAUCAUAUACAACUAUUCCUUAAGGUUCCCGUUAAGGAACGCUGUUUUGACGUCCAUUUGCCAAAUUUCAUAAUCAUAAAAGGCGGCAAUUGCUAACAUGAUUCGGACUGAUUUCAGCUUCGCUACGGGAGAGAAAGUCUCUUCGUAGUCAACUCCUUGAAUUUGUCGAAAACCCUUUGCGACAAGUCGAGCUUUGUAAACGGUUAAAUUACCGUUUGCAUCAGUCUUCUUCUUGAAGAUCCAUUUAUUUUCUAUGGCUCGCCGGUCAUCGGGCAAGUCCACCAAAGUCCAUACUUUGUUUUCAUACAUGUUGGAAUUAUGCCCUAGAGGCAAUAAUAAAUAUAGUUAUUAUUAUAAUUCCUGUAUCAAGAUAAUCGUUUAUUAUCCAUGCUAUAAUUGUAUUGAAUGAAGACUCAUUUACAUGUGUGGAUACAUAGACAAAACACUGUUCCUAGCAAGCCUCUAGUUGGCUAGCCAGUUGAUCAAAGAUAGUCAGUGUCUUCUGAUUAUGAACAAGGUGUUGUUGCUUGAUAACCGGAUCACGUCAUUGGGAGAAUCACGUGAUGGACUAGACCCAAACUAAUAGACGUAGCAUGUUGAUCGUGUCAUUUUGUUGCUACUGCUUUCUGCGUGUCAAGUAUUUAUUCCUAUGACCAUGAGAUCAUAUAACUCACUGACACCGGAGGAAUGCUUUGUGUGUAUCAAACGUCGCAACGUAACUGGGUGACUAUAAAGAUGCUCUNNNNNNNNNNNNNNNNNNNNNNNNNNNNNNNNNNNNNNNNNNNNNNNNNNNNNNNNNNNNNNNNNNNNNNNNNNNNNNNNNNNNNNNNNNNNNNNNNNNNCACACACACACACACACACACACACACACACACACACACACACACACACACACACACACACACACACACACACACACACACACACACACACACACACACACACACACACACUUCAAAUUGAUAAGGGAAGAGUUGAUGCCUUCGACCCAUUAUCGAGACCCUUGGAACAGUUCCAAAGCCUGCAGGACAUGCUCCAAGGGUAAUUUCAAUCAUUCUUGCGCUCUAUCGGUCUCUUUCGAUGAUUUUCUGAUAUAUCAAAUUAAUGAAAAACUUAGCAAAUCAUUAUCCUUGUCGGGCAGGGUUUGGAAGCGGUUCAAGUGCGUGACUCCCGGUAUCGAGCAUGAGAAGCUAACCUUUAGAGCGGCUCAGGUAAGUAGUAGUAUGAUAUACUUCUAUUUUCAAUAUAUUUAUGAUGCUAGAUUAUUAUUUUGAUUAUAUAUAUUCUAUUCUCGUAAAGUGCGACCAGCAGCCACGGGGGACGCAUCUAUGCGGAUACUAUGUUUGCGAGACCAUUCGCACGUUUUCCUCUGAGCACAAGGAUCACAGAUUCGACGUAAGCAAUGAACAUUCACACCUCUAUUUUUACCCAUCAUUCUUUGUUAUCAUGAUUGAUAUUCAUAUUCAUCUCCUCUUCUUAUAUAGCACACGGCCAUGACGAUGAAGGUCCUACCAAAGCAACGCGCGAUUGCUGUUGCACAGGAGCUUGCNNNNNNNNNNNNNNNNNNNNNNNNNNNNNNNNNNNNNNNNNNNNNNNNNNNNNNNNNNNNNNNNNNNNNNNNNNNNNNNNNNNNNNNNNNNNNNNNNNNNUAGGACAAACUCGUAGGCAAUGGGUCGGUGAUUUGUUUGGAUGAUACUCAUCAUGCAACAACUAUAACACGGAGAGAUAUGUGGCUAGCUCCCGUUCAUCAAUGUGAUGUAGGCAUGCAUUCCGUGUGUCGUCAUACGUGCUUAGGGAAAAGAACUUGCAUGACAUCUAUUGUCCAUCCCUCCCGUGGCAGCGGGGUCCAAAAGGAAACUACGGGAUAUUAAGGUUCUCCUUUUAAUAAAGAACCGGACCAACGCAUUAGCACUUGGUGAACACAUGAACUCCUCAAACUAUGAUCAUCACCGGGAGUGGUUCCGGUUAUUGUCACUCCGGGGUUGCCGGAUCAUAACACAUAGUAGGUAACUACAACUUGCAAGAUCCGAUCUAAAACACACUUAUAUUGGUGACAACAAAAUAAUUUCAGAUCUGAAAUCAUGGCACUCGGGCCCUAGUGACAGGCAUUAAGCAAGGCAAAAUAGUAGCAACAUCAAUCUCAGACCAUAGUGGAUACUAGGGAUCAAUCCCCAUCAAAACUAACUCGAUAACAUGAUAGAUCUCAUCCUACUCAUCACCGCCCAGCGGGCCUACGAAUAUAUUACUCAUGAAUGACGAAGAGCUUCACGGAAUUGGAGAGGGAAGAACGUUGAUGAUGACGAUGGCGACGAUUUCCCCUCUCCGGAGCCCAAGACGGACUCCAGAUCUGCCCUCCAGAUGAAGAACAGGUGGUGGUGGCGCCUCCGUAUCAUAAACGCGGUGAAAACUUCUCAUUUUAUUUUUUCCUGGGAUGAAAGGGGACUUAUAGACCUGAGGUUGGGGGCGGCAGAGCCGUGUGGGCCCCACAAGCCUGCCCACCGCCACCAGGGGGGUGGUGGCGGAGCCAGGGCUUGUGGCCCACUGGCCCACUCCCUCAGGUGGAACUUGGCGCACAUAUUUUUUAUAUUUUCCAAAACUGCUCCCCGUAAAUUUUCAGGAUGUUUGGAGAACUUUGAUUUCUGCACAAAAAUAAGACCAAGUCAAUUCUGCUGAAAACAGCGUUAGUCCAGGUUAGUUCCAUUCAAAUCAUGCAAAUUAGAGUCCAAAACAAGGGCAAAAGAGUUUGGAAAAGUAGAUACGAUGGAGACGUAUCAGGCCUCCCCUGGCCUAGGUCUUUCACCUAUAUAUUCCCAUAAAUUAUAGAAAAAAUUAGGAGAUCAUCGAAAGUACUUUUCCGCCGCCGCAAGCUUCUGUCUCCGCAAGAUCCCAUCUCAGGCACGUUCUGGUGCCCUGCCGGAGGGGGGAUUCAGAUACGGAGGGCUUCUUCAUCAACACCAUGACCUCUCCGAUGAUGCGUGAUUAGUUCACCAUAGACCUACGGCACCAUAGCUAGUAGCUAGAUGGCUUCUUCUCUCUCUUGGAUCUUCAAUACAAAGUUCUCCAUGAUUUUCAUGGAGAUCUAUCCGAUGUAAUCUUCUUUUGCGGUGUGUUUGUCGAGAUCCGAUGAAUUGUGGAUUUAUGAUCAGAUUAUCUAUGAAUCUUAUUUGAGUUUCUUCUGAUCUCUCUUAUGCAUGAUUUCAUAUCCUUGUAAUUCUCUUCGAGUUGUGGGUUUUGUUUGGACAACUAGAUCUAUGAUUCUUGCAAUGGGAGAAGUGCUUGGUUUUGGGUUCAUACCAUGCGGUGACCUCACCUAGUGACAGAAGGGGUAGCGAGGCACGCAUCGUGUUGUUGCCAUCAAGGGUAAAAAGAUGGGGUUUUCAUCAUUAGUUUGAGAUUAUCCCUCUACAUCAUGUCAUCUUGCUUAAGACGUUACAAUGUUCGUCAUGAACUCAAUACACUUGAUGCUUGCUGGAUAGCGGUCGAUGUGUGGAGUAAUAGUAGUAGAUGCAGAAAGUAUCAUUCUACUUGUCUCGGACUUGAUGCCUAUAUGUAUGAUCAUUGCCUUAGAUAUCAUCAUGACUUUGUGCGUUCUCUCAAUUGCUCGACAGUAAUUUGUUCACUGCUACUUCUCAAACAACAGCGCCAGAAAUUGACACGUUGACGGAGACUUGGCUUGCGCUAGUUUUUCCCUUGAAGAGGAAAGGGUGAUGCAGCACAGGAGCAGUAAGUAUUUCCCUCAGUUUGAGAACCAAGGUAUCAAUCUAGUAGGAGAAUCUCGUCAAGUCCAGAGUACCUGGGCAAACACAAAAGAGCUGGCACCCAAUGCUUUAAAUGGGUUGUCAAUCCCUUCAAGAUUGUUUGCAAAGUGAGAUCUGAAGCGGAAAGUGCAACGAAGUAAAAAGUAUAAGGCUGAAAAUAUGGGGUGGAGUAGACCCGGGGGCCAUAGUGUUCACUAGAGGCUUCUCUCAAAAUAGCAAAUAUCACGGUGGGUGAACAAAUUACUCUCGAUCAAUUGAUAGAACCGCGCAAAGUCAUGACGAUAUCUAAGGCAAUGAUCAUACAUAUAGGCAUCACGUCCGAGACAAGUAGACCGAUACUUUCUGCAUCCACUACUAUUACUCCACACAUCGACCGCUGUCCAGCAUGCAUCUAGUCUAUUGAGUUCAUGACGAACAGAGUAACGCCUUAAGCAAGAUGACACGAUGUAGAGGGAUAAUCUCAAACCAAUGAUGAAAACCCCAUUCUUUUACCCUUGAUGGCAACAACACGAUGCGUGCCUCGCUACCCCUUCUGUCACUGGUGAGGUCACCGCACGGUAUGAACCCAAAACCAAGAACUUCUCCCAUUGCAAGAAUCAUAGAUCUAGUUGGCCAAACAAAACCCACAAGUCGAAGAGAAUUACAAGGAUAUGAAAUCAUGCAUAAGAGAUAUCAGACGAAACUCAAAUAAGAUUCAUAGAUAAUCUGAUCAUAAAUCCACAAUUCAUCGGAUCUCGACAAACACACCGCAAAAGAAGAUUACAUCGGAUAGAUCUCCUUGAAGAUCAUGGAGAACUUUGUAUUGAAGAUCCAAGAGAGAGAAGAAGCCAUCUAGUUACUAGCUAUGGACCCCUANNNNNNNNNNNNNNNNNNNNNNNNNNNNNNNNNNNNNNNNNNNNNNNNNNNNNNNNNNNNNNNNNNNNNCCAUCAUCGGAGAGGUCAUGGUGUUGAUGAUGAAGCCCUCCGUAUCCGAAUCCCCCCUCCGGCAGGGCACCAGAACGUGCCCCAGAUGGGAUCUUGCGGAGACAAAAGCUUGCGGCGGCGCAAAAGUACUUUCGAUGAUCUCCUGAUUUUUUAUGGAUUUUUAGGGAAUAUAUAGGUGCAANNNNNNNNNNNNNNNNNNNNNNNNNNNNNNNNNNNNNNNNNNNNNNNNNNNNNNNNNNNNNNNNNNNNNNNNNNNNNNNNNNNNNNNNNNNNNNNNNNNNAGUGUAUUGAGUUCAAGACGAACAGAGUAACGCCUUAAGCAAGAUGACAUGAUGUAGAGGGAUAAUCUCAAACCAAUGAUGAAAACCCCAUCUUUUUACCCUUGAUGGCAACAACACGAUGCGUGCCUCACUACCCCUUCUGUCACUGGGUGAGGUCACCGCAUGGUAUGAACCCAAAACCAAGCACUUCUUCCAUUGCAAGAAUCAUAGAUCUAGUUGGCCAAACAAAACCCACAACUCGAAGAGAAUUACAAGGAUAUGAAAUCAUGCAUAAGAGAGAUCAGAAGAUACUCAAAUAAGAUUCAUAAAUAAUCUGAUCAUAAAUCCACAAUUCAUCGGAUCUCGACAAACACACCGCCAAAGAAGAUUACAUCGGAUAGAUCUCCAUGAAGAUCAUGGAGAACUUUGUAUUGAAGAUCCAAGAGAGAGAAGAAGCCAUCUAGUUACUAGCUAUGGACCCGUAGGUCUAUGGUGAACUACUCACGCAUCAUCGGAGAGGUCAUGGUGUUGAUGAAUAAGCCGUGAGUAUCCGAAUCCCCCCUCUGGCAGGGCACCAGAACGUGCCCCAGAUGGGAUCUUGCGUAGAUAGAAACUUGCGACGGCGGAAAAGUACUUUCGAUGAUCUCCUGAUUUUUUAUGGAUUUUUAGGGAAUAUAUAGGCGCAAAACCUAGGGCAACGGAGCAUCAGGGAUNNNNNNNNNNNNNNNNNNNNNNNNNNNNNNNNNNNNNNNNNNNNNNNNNNNNNNNNNNNNNNNNNNNNNNNNNNNNNNNNNNNNNNNNNNNNNNNNNNNNGGUUUGUGAAAGAAAUCACCUGUCAUGCGAAUCGAUAGUGUUUCGUUUUAGAGAACGUUAGUGCAGUAGUUUAAGCACAUGUUGAUUAACGACGAAGCCUUUUCCUAUUAGAGCUCUACUAAUUUACGUGUAGUUUACAGAUAAGUGUAAGCAAAGGGCCGAACAGACAAAGAGCGACGUCGGACCUGCUUGUUGACUAUCGGAGAAAAAUGGCGAAGAGAAUCUUCUCCUGCUUCGUGGCAUGCAAGACGAGGACGGGACGGAGACUCUCGCCGGUCGUCGUCCAUGGAGUGCACGUCGCUCUUNNNNNNNNNNNNNNNNNNNNNNNNNNNNNNNNNNNNNNUCUUUCCCUGUGGACUGUGGUCGUGCACGACCACCACUGAUCUGAUCAGCAGCCUAGACUAACUGUAGAAGAAGUUUGAUAUGGUACCAAAAUGUGCUGCUUGAAUGCACAUCUCGUUCUCCUGACCAAACGAAGGGUCUAUAAAUACGGGUCUAAAAAAAUUCCAAAUGCGGUGUAAAGGCAUAUAAUUGUACUAUUGUUUUUUAUUGUACAAAGUUAGCACCCGACCCAUUUAAUUGUCUACUUUCCGAUCCCAUGAUGUUGUUGAAGCAUGCAACGUGAAAAGGCCCCUUGCUGCGGCACACGCGCUUAAAACUUUAUCACUAAAAUCGUUAUAAUUAUUGUAAAAUUCUUUNNNNNNNNNNNNNNNNNNNNNNNNNNNNNNNNNNNNNNNNNNNNNNNNNNNNNNNNNNNNNNNNNNNNNNNNNNNNNNNNNNNNNNNNNNNNNNNNNNNNAGAAAAACUAUGGAGUUCAAAUAAGUUCAAAAAAAUGAAAUCCCUUUGUAACAGACGAGUUUCCGUAUGAAACCCUGAUACUUCCAAAGAGACUGCCCGUUUUGUACACGAAGUGCAUCCAGUUUUUGCCGUAACCCUCUCAACUUUAUCGCACAUGCUAUGUGGGUGAAAUGAUGAUACCAUGCCAACUUGGAACCUUUUCAGAAUUCAUUUCAAAUGCUUUUCAAUUUCAUGGCCUUAUAGCUCAUAAUAAUCAGUAAAUGCAUGAAAAAUAACAAAUGAAGUCAGAAACGGUUGUAAAUUGAUGAUGUGGCUUUGAAUGGUGCAUUUUGAACACAGAAAAACUAUGGAGUUCAAAUAAGUUCAAAAAAAUGAAAUCCCUUUGUAAGAGACGAGUUUUCGUAUGAAACCUUGAUACUUCCAAAGAGAUUGUCCGUUUUGUACACGAAGUGCAUCCAGUUUUUGCCGUAACCCUCUCAACUUUCUCGCACAUGCUAUAUGGGUGAAAUGAUGAUACCAUGCCAACUUGGAACCUUUUCAGAAUUCAUUUCAAAUGCUUUUCAAUUUCAUGGUCUUAAUGGCAAAAAGAAUCAUCAUAAAAUAAAAUAAAAAUAAGUAAUUAGAAACAAAAAAAUAAAAAAAUAAGUAUUUUGUUGUAUGGAGAAACAAUACAAAAUAAGCUAACUAAAAAAAUAAACAAAACAAAAAUAAAGCAAAAAACAAAACAAAAAUAAUGGAAAAAAAAUUAAAAAAUAGAUGUUCCUCUCCACGUUGCAGCCGCGGUGGAGCUUAUAAACAGGCUCGGAAGCCCUUCGCUUGGCGAGGUGGGACUAAACAUUCCACCGCACCACGGCUGUGGCAAGCAACCGGUACCAAUGCAAAAAAGAAAUAAAACAAAUAAAGCAAAAAAGAAAACAAAAAAAAUGGAAAAAAAUAAAAAAAAUUGCCACCAACUAGGCCACCACGGCCUGAAUACGACUAGAAACCCAUCCAUGGGCCAGGAUUCAGGCCUGCAGUAGGCCGAGAAGGCCCAUCAGGUAAAGCAUUAGCAAGUAGGCCCGUAAGCCUGCAGUGGAGAGGAGCUCGAGAGGGGUGCAGCAGUGGGGCUUAUAAACCACUGCGCGCCCCUCUCAACUAGCGAGGUGGGACUAAACUUUGGCCGCGACGCGGGCAGCACAGGAGCCUUUGGUACCGGUUCGUGGCGCCAACCAGUACCAAUGUCCACCCUUUAGUCCCGGUUGGUGCCACCAACCGGGACCAAAGGUCGCCGCGCUUCCCGCCCUUUGGGCUGCUGAAAAGUGACCUUUAGUCUUGGUUGGUGGCACUAACCGGAACUAAAGGGGGCAUUGGUACCGGUUGGUGCCAGGAACCGGUACCAAUGGCUUUGCUAUAUAAGCCAGCAGUUGUGAAAAUUUCGUCAGUUUCUUCGAUUCCUCCGACGACGACGCCAGGCUGCCCGAGCUCGCCGUCGUCGCCCCUGCCCCCGACCACGCCGCCGUUGCCCGGCCCGACCACGUUGUCGUCGCCCCUGCCCCCCGACCACGCCGCGCGCCCUUGCCGUGCCUCUAUCGCGCCCCUACCCGCCCAGUCGACGUCGUCGCCGCCCUUUGCCCCGUCGAUCGCCGUCGCCCCUGCCCAAACCACGCCGCCGUUGCCCCUACCCCGACCACGCCGCCGUCGCCGCCCUCUACACCGACGCCGGCGUCGUGCCUCUCCUUGGUCAGGCCGGCGCCGCCCACCCUGUCCUCUCCUUUGUUCAUAUAAAUGAUGAUUUGUUUUUUGCAUUUUUAUAAAAAUGUAUAUAUGUAUGUAUGUUCUCUGUGCAUAUAAAAGUUAGAUUUUUAGUACAUUUGGGUACAUUUUAGGUUAGUUUUAUCUAUAUAUGUUCUCUGAUUUAUUACAUUUUAGGUUAGUUUCAUUUUUAGAAAAGUUUUAUAUAUUUAGGAAAAGAAGGAAGAGAAGGAAGAAGGAAGAAGGAAGAAGAAGAAAAGGUUUUAUAUAUGCAAAAGUUACAUUUUUAGAAAAGUAUUAUAUAUAGCUAGGAAGAUAACGAAGAAGAAGAAAAAGAAUGAGAGGAGAAAAAGGAAAAUAAGAAGAGGAAGAAAGGAGAAGAAGAGGAGAGGAAGAAGAGGAGAAAUAAAUAAGAAGAGGAAAAAAGAAGAAAAAGAGGAGGAGAAGAAGAAAGGAAUAGAGGAGAAAGAAGAAAAAAACUAUUUUUUUUCUUCUUUCUCCUCUAUUCCUUUCUUCUUCUCCUCCUCUUUUUCUUCUUUUUUCCUCUUCUUANNNNNNNNNNNNNNNNNNNNNNNNNNNNNNNNNNNNNNNNNNNNNNNNNNNNNNNNNNNNNNNNNNNNNNNNNNNNNNNNNNNNNNNNNNNNNNNNNNNNCACGGACCGAGGAGGGCUGCGUGUCUAGCACGGCCCGAUUAACCCAUGUCAUGCUUGGCCCGUGACAUGUCGAGCCGCCGUGCUUCUGUGCCAAGCAUGAGCCGUUUGGCCAGGUCUGUUCUGGGCUCCUUUCAAGAAAACCAAAAAAAACCUCAACAGUACCUCANNNNNNNNNNNNNNNNNNNNNNNNNNNNNNNNNNNNNNNNNNNNAAACCUCAACAGUACCUCAAAGGUACUCUGUCUCCGUACUUAUAAUUGAGGGGAGGUAGAUAAACGGGCCGGGCCAACCAUGCUAGCCCACCAGCACGGCACGGGCUAAACGGGUUGGUCCAAGCAUGUUGCAAAAAAACAUACCAUCAGAAUGGAAAAAAAUGCAACCCAGCAGGCUAAACGUGUCGUGGACUGGCCGAUUAUUAGUUGGGCGGCCCAACUAAUAAUCGUUCCACGGCAGGCCAUUACCAUGUCAGGCCCGAUUAAGAUGGGACAGGGCGGCGCCAGUAACGGGCACCGGGCAUGCACGUUUGGGGGNNNNNNNNNNNNNNNNNNNNGCGGGGGGCGGGCGCGGGGGGUGGGGGGGGGGGGGGGGGGNNNNNNNNNNNNNNNNNNNNNNNNNNNNNNNNNNNNNNNNNNNNNNNNNNNNNNNNNNNNNNNNNNNNNNNNNNNNNNNNNNNNNNNNNNNNNNNNNNNNUAACGGACCGAACUAGCAGCGGCGAGAUAUUGCUAAAAUGCACCACGGCACGGAAUAGAGGGCACGGGCUCACCUCGCUCCUGGGCCGGAUCUGGUGGAGGGGAGGCUGGGCCGAAGCGGUGGGAUGAGCUGGUGGGCCGCGGCGCUGGCGAGCGGGGCGACUGGGCCGACUGCUGGGCGCACACGCGAGGCGCUGAGGCGGGCGAGCGAGCAGCUCCUCCCGAUCCGGAUCGAGAUCGAGGAGGGAGCUCGGCGGCAGCGCUCCUGCGGCCGGAUCGAGGCGAGGCAGCAACGGAACUGGCCGGUGCUCGGCCUCCGGCGAGGGCCGGUCGAGGCAGCAACGGAACUGGCCGGUGCUCGGCCUCCGGCGAGGUCCGGUCGCCGGAGGGGCGAGGCCAAGGCGGCGGUGAGCUCGAAGGUGAGGCGCGACGCGCGAGGACCCCGGGAGCAGCGCAGGGAGGCGAGGCCGGGAGUUGGUCGGCGGUCUCCGGCGAGGCCAGGGACGGCGACGGGGCGCCUAGGCCAGGGACGGCCAACUCCGGCGAGGCCCUCCGGUGGCACUCCGACGAGGAGGCGCGACGAGGAGCAGCAGGAGGAGCUCGGCCAGAGAACGCUCGGGCGCGGCGGCGGCACGGAUGGGCCUGCCCGGGCCCGAUCUGGGCUCGGUGGCCCCGCGCCGGCUGGUGGGUGGGAGGAGAGAGAGAGUGCGGCUAGGGUUUGAGGGGCGCGGAUCCCGAGGGAGAGAGAGAGGGUUUGACUGAAUAAUGCAUGGGGGUCUAUAAAUAGACAAACGGGGGGGGGGCUCGGUUAACCGGAAUUCCGUUCCGGAUCCNNNNNNNNNNNNNNNNNNNNNNNNNNNNNNNNNNNNNNNNNNNNNNNNNNNNNNNNNNNNNNNNNNNNNNNNNNNNNNNNNNNNNNNNNNNNNNNNNNNNAAAAAAAACAACACCUAAAAUGCUGACGCGUGGAUGCCUUUUGGUCCAGGGGGGUGUCACCAACCGGGACUAAAGGCCCCCCUGCCCGGUCUCGCCGCACCGGCCACGUGGAGGUCCAUCUGUCCCGGUUCGUAUAAGAACCGGGACUAAAGGCCAAGGGCAUUAGUAACGACAUUUUAGUCCCGGUUCCAAAACCGGGAUAGAAGGCCCUUACGAACCGGGACAAAAGGCCAUUUUUCUACUAGUGGAUGCGGUGUACAUGCGUACCUGGGUGGCCGGAGUAGCGCAGCAGAUAGUGACCUAGCCCUAGCAGGUGGACGUAUCGGAGACAAAGACGAAAAGGGGUGGACGUAGCUUGCUAUGCUGGCCCUUGGCCAUGGAUGAAUCCCGAAGCUACGCGAGGGAGCAAUAGAGAGGGCUGGCAGCGAGGAAGCCAGCCAGCGAGGGAGGGUUGCGUGAGGAGUGGGUGCGGUGGGUGUUUUAUACAUCGGGGAGGAGACGUGAGGGUGCGGUGCAAGUGCAACCCACGGCUCUCUCUCUUCCUCUUGACACCAGCAGGCGAGCGGUUAAGAUUCUUCUUGUGAUCCUUCAGGACCGUCACAAUGGAUUCCUUCCCUGUGCUCCCCAAAGCAAACGAGGAGGGGGUAAAACUAGCAAGCAAGUGCGGAGCGCCUUGUGGCGUGGUGAGGAGGGGACGCCAUGGGAUUUGGUGGGGCCAGGCGGUCGCCGCGUGCCUCACUUCAAAAGAAAAAAAAAUAUCCUCUUCUCAAAGGAAACAAGAAACAAGUCUCAGCUUCUGUGUUUUUCCUCCGGAUAUGUGCUUCUUCAUCAUUUUCUAGUAAUCCCAAGGAAUUUCGUUCCAACUCAAAUACGAAAGAGAAUGAAUUAGUGGCCCCAAGCCUAGGUAAAACAUUCUUUUCACGUCCCAUGCAUGCUUCAACAACGUCAUCGGGUUCAAUGAGUACGUUUGUGUGGAACUGCCCGAGAACUUUGCGGAAACACGAGGAAAUUUGCCCCCUACCGUGCUUUGUAUAAUUGAAACUCAAAUUAGUGGUGAACGUGUAGAAGCAUUGGCUAGCUCACUCGAGUAUGAUGAAGCUUAUGCCAUUGAAGGUAGAAGCGGAGGAAUAGGGAUCUAUUGGAACAAUACAACGGAUAUUGAGAUCUCGGGCGAAUAUGUUUAUCACAUUGAUGCUACCGUGAAGGAUAGCUGUCAAGAACCAUGGAAACUGGCAUGUAUAUACGGUGAGGCUUAAGCUCACCUAAGACACCCGACUUCAGAUGUGAUGAAGGGGAUANNNNNNNNNNNNNNNNNNNNNNNNNNNNNNNNNNNNNNNNNNNNNNNNNNNNNNNNNNNNNNNNNNNNNNNNNNNNNNNNNNNNNNNNNNNNNNNNNNNNGGUCCUAAAGGCCUUGCGGCCAUUUGCUGCAGGGAGGGGGCCCAGCGGACAGACCCUUUAGAACCGGCUUAUAUCCAAUCCGGGUCUAAUGUGGUUGGCUCAAUGCCCUGUUUUCUACUAGUGGACGUCCUCCAGCCGAGUCAUCAACCCUUUUAUUUCCUGCCGGGAAUCGUCUUCGGGCCACAGCUCCUUGGCGAUCCAGCCGAUGACUUCUCUCAGACGGCUGAUAAAAGAUCCCACUCUGCCAAGGCGAAUAUGUGCUCGGAGCAUGUCCCGAUUGGCUUCGUCGCCGAGUGGAACGUUCGGAACAACCGACCGUUCAAUGUCGGCUGCUUCAGCCUCAGCGUCCAGACAAAAAUCUGCCAAGAAAAGACAAGCACAAAGUAAGCGCAGAAUGAACUACGAAGUCAAGAAGCACUCGGCAAAAAAACCUUACCACCGAGCAGUGCAAUCAUCUUCCUUGCCCACUCGCUGACGUACUUCUCCUGCGAAAUGCACCGACUGUUCAUCAACUUCAUGUGACUCAUCAGUUCAGUUCUUUGCUUGCCCAUUUUCUCAAUUUCGGCCACCAAUGCCUUGUUGGUCUCCCGGGACUCCUCCAAAGACUUCUCUCGGUCAGCAAGAGCCCCCUUCACACCAGCCAAGUCAUUCACAGCCGCCUCCAAUUCCCCAGCAAGCUGAACCUUUUCAGCCUUCAGAGCAUUGUACGCGGAUCCCAUUUCGCAAGUCUUCUGCCAAAUCAGCGCAAAGGGAAGCUCAGACACAUUCAACAAGGAAAACAACCAAAGCUCAAAGUUCUUAAGACCCCUGCCGAUGCAAGCACUCGACAGCGGUCUCGGGGACUACACCCAGUGGGUUCACUAAGAGUGAUCCCACUGGCAUGAAGCUCGAACAGGCCGGCCCUAUUGAGCUAGAUGACAAACAGACAAAUCUAUGACACUACUAUCACCCGACCAGAGUAACACUACUCUCGGGGACUACACCCAGCGGGUGCACUCGGAGUGCCCCCAGUGGAACCAUUUGGGCAGAUCAGCUCUGAUCCGCCCAGGUAACGGAAAAUACAUAUAAAGACAACUGCCGGUGCAAGCACUCGACAGAAGUCUCGGGGACUACACCCACUGGGUUCACUCGGAGUGAACCCACUGCUAAAACAUCCUACUGUAUCCGAGUCUAUCACUGAAACCCCCAGUGGGUAACAAGAGGAAAGUAAACACUUACUAGCGCACUUACUCGGAUAUCGUCCCGGAGCUCCAAGCUUCUCUUGUACAAAGACGCGAUGGAGUCGUACGCUCCCUUGGCAUCACCCACCAUCAACUCCACCUGCACCAUGGCCUCCUUGGCGGCUCCCACUUGGUCUUCCGGGAGGUGUCGGGCGUCGUACUGGACGGUCGACGGACCUAGCACGACAGAAGACUCCUUGGGCAUCCCAAGUCCCGCUCCAGUCGGUUCCGCCGCGAGGGGCACCGCCUCAGUCGACGGCAUCGUCUCGGUCGGCGACGCGUCCAUGGUGGGAGCAGCAGCAGAUGGAACAACCUCAAGGACAGGCGCCAAAGUUGGCCCUGAUCCCCUUUGGUCGUCCUCCUCCAGAUGAAUCACCUCCGAAGGAAGCCCGACUGAACAAUAUGAGGUUACAGAAAAAGGGCAAGAUUAAAGGCAGCACUCGCGAAACAAUAAUGCAAACUCUCGGAGUCGUCACAACGUACCUUGCUGGGAUGUGGCAGCGUUAUCCGUAUCCAUGGGAUCAUCGUCCUGGCGCGGCAGAGAGGUGGCGGAGGUAGCAGCUCUGUCGAGUAAAAUCCACUCGACCGAUAAGCAUGAGUUCAAUCAAAUACUAAAAGAAGAUGGGAGAACAAGACAAUUACGCUGAGGCAACUGGAACAGCGAUCCUCAUCCGAGGCAAAGCUUUCCGAGGCUUGGACCCACUUGGUUUAGCCACCUUGGACGGUUGGUCCGUGGGCUCGACAGCAGCGUCCCUGGUCCUCUUCACGCUCUGAACACUCGGAGCCACGGGAGGAGCUGGCGGGGCACUCGGAGCCACGGGAGGAGCUGGCGGAGCACUCGGGGCCGCUGGAGGAGCCGACGGAGUCGCGGGUUCGUGAAGACGCUUAGUUCGAGGCUCUGAUGGUGGAGGUGGCGAUCUCUGCUCCCCAACCUCUCCGUCCUCCUCUUCAGACUCCUCCUCCGUCUCCCCACUAUCGGAUACGUACUCGGCGCUAUCCAUGCUGCCCUCCUGGCUGCCCUCCUCUUCCUCAGUGGGAUUCCUGUUCGAGACGGGAGAGUGCCAGUUGGUCCACUCCUGCAAAAAAUACAGUCGACAACGUCAGACACCAGGCGGCGACACAAGAAAAGCGAUAAAUCUAAGAAGAUUGAAAGCACUCGACAAGAGGUGCUCACCUCAUUCGGAGGAGGAUUAUCGACGCGGAAGGGCUUCACCCGACGGGCUCCUCCUGGGUUGUCGCAUGUGCCUGUCAUGUCGCGGACCCACGCUGUCACAACCUCCCCAAUCACGCAUUCUGGAUGGGUCCGAGUGGAAUCCUUAGGCCCCGCGUAGUGCCACAUGGCGUGGUGUUGGGCUUGCAGCGGCUGGAUGCGCCGACCCAGAAAAGUCUCCAGCAAAUCUGUGUCGGUGACUCCCUUGCGGACGACAACUAUCAGCGCGUCGACCAGAGGUUGGAUCUGGAUCUUUUCCAACUUUGAGAGCGCAAGCUGCCUAGGAGGGGCCGGACAGUCUAGGCUAAAGGGCGGCAACCCAGUCGCGGCAUUCGGACAACCUAUGUCCUGGCAGUAGAACCAGGUCGACUGCCGGUUCCUAACUGACUCGGACAACUGGAGAGGGGGGUAGCUACUCUUCGUUUUCUUCUCGAAGCCUAAGCCCCCGCAGAGCUGGAGGAGAUGAGUUUUAUCAUCCGACUGGCUAAGUUUUUUGACUGUUUGAGACCUAGCGGAGAAGAUGUACUUAAAGAGCCCCCAAUGGGGGGGGACAUCCAAUAAAGCACUCGCACACAGUGACGAAUGCGGCAAGAUGGGCUAUCGCGUUGGGAGGAAAAUGAUGGAGCUGCGCCCCGAAGUGAUUCAUAAUACCUCUAAAGAAGGGGUGGGGAGGCAAGGAGAAGCCCCUGUACACGUGGCUGAGCAGCAACACGCGCUCUCCCUCCUGCGGUGCCGGCUCCGUCUCACCAUCCGCCAACAGCCUCCACGACUUGUUGGCAAUCAUGCCUUGCUCCACCAGCUCCAGCAUGUCGUCCGCCGUCACCGUGGAGGGAAGGAAAUCCCCCUGGAUCCAACCCGCCGGCAGUGCCCGCUGUCGCCGCUGAGCAGGGGCCGCCGCCUUCUUCUUCUUCUUCUGCGACUCGAGCUUGCUCGUCUGCCCCUUUUUCAUGGUGAAGGCAGCAGAUCCGCAGAGGAGGAGACGAAGGAGGAGGCUUGGAACGCGCAGGGAGCUACGGGAGAAGCGAGGCGAGUGCGAGUAACAAGGGCAGCGCAACAAGAAACCCCCGCCGGAGAGUCUUAAAUAAGGUUCCGACUGGGUCACUAAUAGGUGGCCCCGAAAUCUUAUCCCCCGACCGGCUGCUGCGAUGUUAGUGGAGAAGAUAACGGCACGGUAAUCGAGGCAGCAGAAACUACUCGAUGGCGAUGUCGACAUCCCCGCUGAGCGCACGGCAACCGAAAUUUGAGGAUCCGAGAAAAUCCGAUGCUGUCAGUUUGACCGGUCGCAUCGAAAGAUUCCGCGGAAGCACUCGGUCCCAGACGGUUCAUUUCACUCGUAUAUUCACUCGGAUCACUGGUCGAAAGGAUAACAUGGAUCGAGGCAAACAACGCCAAAGUCACAUCCAUACCGAUCCGUACUCCAGGCAUCACUUCGUCAUUCCAACCCCGAUCCAUUCGGGGACUAAUGAUGGGGUUAUAGUCCCAGGGUAGGGUCAUAGGCCUGCCCUAUAGGUCCUACCCAAGGACUACCCUUCAUAGAGGGCAAGGCCCUUAGACAGUUCCGACUGAACUAAGGACCCCCAUCAUCCAGUCGGCGACGAGCAUUCGGAGCGUAUUUAUCGUACCGACUGAAUUCCACUCUGUACAUCGUAACCUCCCAGGAGGGCAACGGUCACACGUUUUCAUACACCAUUACUAGCAUUUAAGGCAUACAUUACCUGUAACGUAGGCAUUUAUUCGCCACUAUUCCACCCCUGUCCACCGGGCCAUUGUGGAGGGCAGCGCACUCUAUAUAAGCCGCCCUUCCCCACUGGUGCAGAGGUUGGCAUUUACGGUAAUCCCAUAUUCCACUCGACGCCAAGCUCCCAAGAGCACUGAUACAUAGGUGUUUUACCUCCACCGUAGAGGGGUCUGAACUCAUACAACCUCGCCGUAGCUAAGGCUCUGCCCAUCCUUUCGUACCCUACACAUCUACUGUCAGACUUAUACCCACGACAGUGGGCUUCUUUGGCCUCUUUUUUUUCCUCACAUGGGACAAUGCUCCAUUAAUGAUGAUCAUCACACUUUCAACUCAAAACUUA
rnacentral:lncRNA from 1 species